AUGUAUGCUAUGAAACAGCGGAAUAAAAAACCUGGGUUCACUCCCUCCCCUGUCCCUGUGACCGGUAUCCGGUCUUACCUUUUUCCCAGAGAUAUGGGAUUGCCUCUUUUAUGGCUUCCUGCUGCAACUACUAGGAGACUGGCAGAGUCCGGGGUGAGAGGUUUGAUUCAGGGCGUCGGUAGGGCUUGCCUUAGUGAAAAGUAG